AAGCCAUGGUGUGGGCAUUGAGCUUGGUAGCCCUUGAAUCUCUCCCAGGCUUCACUGAAGCCUUCCAAGUUCUUCUGUUGAAAGCUGGAAAUCUCGUUUCCCAGCUU
rnacentral:snoRNA from 1 species